AUUUGCAUUAUAUUUAUUAUAUUAUUUAAAUUAAAAAGAGUAUACAUGUAAAUGCACUCGUUUACUAUUUAUAUAUCUCUAUUUAUUUAUCUUCGUUUAUUCUUUCCCUUUCUUACUCUGUUCUCGCUACCACUGUUUCUAUGUAUGUAAAUAUCUAUACGCAUGUUCCUUCGCACAUCUUCCCUCUUUUCUUUCCUUCUCUAACGAUUAGCUACUAACCACUUCGCCACUAUCUACUAAUAUCAUUAUUAUUAUUCCUUAUUCUUACUAUCUUCUAUCAUUCACUCCUCUGGGAGUAUAAUAAUUCUGUGAGGGGUGAGAACAGUAUGAAGAGUGAAUAGCAGAAGAUAGUAGAAGAUACCACCACAAACCACGGGUAAAUAUACCACUAUGAGCGCAACCAUUCAACAAAUGGUUACGAUGGCUUUUUGCUAUGGAAAACCUAGUGGUAUUAGUGCUAUAUUACCACAGCGAGAACACAAUAAGGAAAUAAUUAUUAGGCCACUAGGGCAAAAGAGCUCAAUCACCACCAGCGCCGUGGUGGUAUAGAGGGUACGAAUCACCCAAUCCAAUCCCCCCAACAAUAAUCAACCAGUGCAUUUACAAACUCUAUCUAUAAUACAAAUUAAAAUUAUUAUAUUAGUAUAAUUUUUAGAAUAAUACCUGAAAUAUCUUUGUGGUAUGUUAUAGCCACUCUGUGUGGUACACUGACAUAAACUCGCAAAACAGAAUAGAUGGGAAAAACGCUGCAAUUAAGGCUUAAAUCAUAAUAUAAAUGUACAUGUCCAUCACAAAUCAUUAUAUAUACACAAUAUCUGGACGUGGGGCGAGGUCAAUGUACGGAAUAGCCGUUAGUUAUUCAUAAGACAAGAAUUGAAUGUGAAGAACACCCGCCAGCAAACACCACGCUAUAGCACGCGCAGCAAAGGGACUGAAGCAAGACGGAAGUGUGGAGAGAGGGAGGAAAGAGCACUCGUCUGGGAGGCUUGAAAGGUUAUUUGAGGAAGUAAUAAAAAAUAGUUAUAAAGUAUCCACUCUCUCCAAGGCAUUCUUUGAAUCUUCACUUCUAUCAGAAAAAUAAGUGCCAGGUUUUCUCGAGGAAUACUUUUUCGGAUGGAGAUCAAUAUUAAGACCGCGCGUGACCUGCGAGAUGAAGGGCAAACUAUACUUGUUAUCGGGGUCUGCAUCUGCAUCGCGUCUAGAGCUGGGAUUGCUAACGGCAACUCCCGUGCUCCGGCGACGAUCUCGACGAGCAGGCUGCGACCGACUUCGAUGCGAUGGGGAUUCAUUGACCGUAGCAUACUUUUUCUCUGAGGGUGAUCUAUUCGGAGGUGAUGGUAUAGGUACCUUGAUUACGAUAUGGUUGGAACAAAUGCAGCCGCAGCCACUUGGGCAGAAUGGAUUAGUAGUCGUCCUUUUUGCUCUGGCAAAGCGAGGUUGUGUUGAGAACCAGUUCUGAUGACAUUCGACACAUGAAACAUGCCCACAAUUUAAACACGGAGUAAACAUCCCAUCGAUGACCUCGCCACAAACAACACAUGAUAGCUUGGCGGGGAUUGGUUGUGAAAGUCUGCAUUGGGGACAUUGAAUUGCAGGCGAAUCACCCCCUCGUGCUUUACUCCUGCGGCUGGGUUUUGCUAAGUCGGACAUUGCAAAGGCGGAAAUGUGAAGACCACAUCCACAUUUGGCGCAAUUUCGUUGUAUAUCCAAGCCUUCAUUAUUCUCGAAAGGUUUCCUUUCUUGAGAACGAAUUGCGGCUAGCGGUCUCGAAUCACGUCCGUCGGAGUCCGACAUUCGCUUAUCAUGAUAUUUCGAGCGGGGUAGGCGAUACAUGUCGGGGCGACUACUAGUGAUACCGUC
rnacentral:sRNA from 2 species